GGUGGCUGGGACUACAGUUGUCUUCAUUCUUCUGAUGUGGCCUCAGGAACAAGUGCUGAAAUUUCGCACUGCAACUACCUCCUCCAUGGAACAUGACUUCCUGGGACAAAUCUAUCCCAGUUCCAAAGGACUUAUCAAAAUAAUUGAUUGUCAAUGCUUUCUGAAGAAAGAUCUCAAUAAAAAGGGAGAAAUGUCAAAAGAAAUCCAAAAUGGAGAUGAUUAUGUCAGAGGUCUCUAAAAAGGAGCCAAGAGGGCAGGUAGAGUUGGACCCCAGUCACAUACACACCCAGAUGGAAAUGGACCUGUUUGAACUUGGCCAAACUGCAAACAUCCUGAAAAAGCAGCUGAAUUUUAUUUGAGCUGUUUACACUGGGCCCACUCACAAAAACCUCCUGAGGAGAGAGAUGUGCCAAAUUAAGUUGUUCAUUGCCUAAGACAUUCUAAGCUGUCAAUCAGCCACUGGCAUCAUGAACUAUAAGAAAAUCUUCCACUUGCAUAAACUUGCAGGAAACCUUUAUAAGCCUCUACCUAGCCUCGUCUGGAUGGAACGUAAUUUAGCUGCUUGCUAGAUUUGUGUUUCUUGAAUUGAAUUGAAUUCAUAAAAGACUCUGAUUAAAACACCUUCUGUUUGCUGCUCUGCA